ACUUUUGUCCCUAUAGUGUAUGUAAGGCAAAACUUUGCUUACAGGGCAUAUGCUGGAUUGAAAAUUCAGUGCUGCGCGGCCUGGCAGCUCCCAUCAAUGCCCUACACUGAGGUAGGAUAUUUUGUUGCCGAGUGACCAUUUUGUGGAGGCAGCCAUGCAAAGGCACAAUACCCAAGGUUUACGUGAGCCAGUAGUUCCACACAAGAUGUUAUCUUCUGCUCUCUUACAGUAUUUUAAGCUGUAUGAUACCUAAUGUGUAAAUCUCUCCAUCAGCUUAAUGCUUUACAUUCCAGGUAACAUCCAGUCUGGUCGUAAAGUUUCAAAUUUUAUUGUCAUGGGGUGAUGGAUGCAUGGUGGGGGCGAAUAGAACAAACAGCAACGCAAUGACUCAAGUUACAGAAAGCAAGCAAUCUCAGACACAAAUACUGAUAUGAUACACAGUACUUCAUUAAUGAAGUAAAAACAGACAAAUGUACUUGCUUGAGUUAAAAUUAACUGCAAAGGUGUUUUUCCAUACUAGCUUCACUCCUGCUAACAAGCUUUAAAUAUAGUGACAAUGAGACCUUCUUUAUACCUUGUUUAUACUCUGCACGUGAACAAGAGUCAUUUGUGUGAAGCAUCUGGUGCUAAUUAACAAAGGCCAUCAUCAUGUGCAAACUACCCAAUUUCACUGCCUGACGAUACACUGGAUGCUGUUUGAAAUGACUUGAUUCUUACUCAUAUGCCACAUACAUACAUAUAUGUGUGUGUGUGUGGUCAUUUGGGUUUUUGCAUUAACAGCAGUAAGUACCUUCUUUGGCAUGGACUGGACUAGCCCUUGAGACUUUCUAGAAGGCUAACUGGUAAGUGAGAGGGGUUUACAGUCAGAACUGCAAGUGAUGUAAAGGUUGGUCGUCUGAUUUGAUUUUGGCUGCUGCCUCCAUGACCCUGAUGCAUCAGGCCUUUGGCUUUAUUACUUUGAACUGCUAAUAACACUGAGAAGCCUCUGGAGAUUCUUCUAGCUGAGAAACAGUCCAUGAUUUCAAAUAAAACGUUUAUUAUUCCUCCCGCCCCCUCAGAACAUCUACAGCAGUUGUGGGAGGAAGGAAAGUGGAAUGUGCACAUUAACCAAAGGGAGCUGGAAAUAAAUAUCGCUGAGAGGAAGACGGAGAAAUAUGACUCACUCAUCAUUGCCACAUCUCCCCACACAGUAAAAGACAUCGCUUUGACCCUCAAACUAAGAGGCAAAUUAAAACAGCAAGAACAUUCAUCACAAAUGUGUGCUCCCAUAAAGUACUUUAGGAUCAAGAACCUUUCUUACCAUCUGAUGUGCCCUUUGGAAUUUGACAGUACCAUAAACUUCAGUGUAUAUGG